UUGUCUCAAAGAUUAAGCCAUGCAUGUCUAAGUAUAAGCAACUUGUACUGUGAAACUGGGAAUGGCUCAUUAAAUCAGUCAUCGUUUAUUUGAUAGUACCUUACUACAUGGAUACCUGUGGUAAUUCUAGAGCUAAUACAUGCUAAAAACCCCGACUUCAGGAAGGGGUGUAUUUAUUAGAUAAAAAACCAACGCCCUUCGGGGCUCCUCGGUGAAUCAUAAUAACUUAACGAAUCGCAUGGCCUUGCGCCGGCGAUGGUUCAUUCAAAUUUAUGCCCUAUCAACUUUCGAUGGUAGGAUAGUGGCCUACCAUGGUGGCAACGGGUAACGGGGAAUUAGGGUUCGAUUCCGGAGAGGGAGCCUGAGAAACGGCUACCACAUCCAAGGAAGGCAGCAGGCGCGCAAAUUACCCAAUCCCGACACGGGGAGGUAGUGACAAUAAAUACUGAUACAGGGCUCUUUUGGGUCUUGUAAUUGGAAUGAGUCCAAUUUAAACCUCUUAACGAGGAACAAUUGGAGG
rnacentral:rRNA from 1 species